CCUACGGGUGGCAGCAGUGAGGAAUAUUGGUCAAUGGACGAGAGUCUGAACCAGCCAAGUAGCGUGAAGGAUGACUGCCCUAUGGGUUGUAAACUUCUUUUAUAUGGGAAUAAAAUGUUCCACGUGUGGGAUUUUGUAUGUACCAUAUGCAUAAGGAUCGGCUAACUCAGUGCCAGCAGCCGCGGUAAUACGGAGGAUCCGAGCGUUAUCCGGAUUUAUUGGGUUGAAAGGGAGCGUAGGUGGAUUGUUAAGUCAGUUGUGAAAGUUUGCGGCUCAACCGUAAAAUUGCAGUUGAAACUGGCAGUCUUGAGUACAGUAGAGGUGGGCGGAAUUCGUGGUGUAGCGGUGAAAUGCUUAGAUAUCACGAAGAACUCCGAUUGCGAAGGCAGUUCACUGGACUGCAACUGACACUGAGGCUCGAAAGUGUGGGUAUCAAACAGGAUUAGAUACCCUUGUAGUC
rnacentral:rRNA from 1 species